rnacentral:rRNA from 1 species
GUUGAACGCUGGCGGCAGGCCUAACACAUGCAAGUCGAGCGGAUGAAGGGAGCUUGCUCCUGGAUUCAGCGGCGGACGGGUGAGUAAUGCCUAGGAAUCUGCCUGGUAGUGGGGGAUAACGUCCGGAAGCGGGCGCUAAUACUGCAUACGUCCUGAGGGAGAAAGUGGGGGAUCUUCGGACCUCACGCUAUCAGAUGAGCCUAGGUCGGAUUAGCUAGUUGGUGGGGUAAAGGCCUACCAAGGCGACGAUCCGUAACUGGUCUGAGAGGAUGAUCAGUCACACUGGAACUGAGACACGGACCAGACUCCUACGGGAGGCAGCAGUGGGGAAUAUUAGGCAAUGGGCGAAAGCCUGAUCCAGCCAGACCGCGUGUGUUAAGAAGGUCUUCGGAUUGUAAAGCACGUUAAGUUGGGAUAAAGGGCAGUAAGUUAAUACCUUGCGGUUUUGACGUUACCAACAGAAUAAGCACCGGCUAACUUCGUG